AUUGAACGCUGGCGGCAUGCCUUACACAUGCAAGUCGAACGGUAACGGGCCUUCGGGUGCCGACGAGUGGCGAACGGGUGAGUAAUACAUCGGAACGUGCCCGAUCGUGGGGGAUAACGAGGCGAGAGCUUUGCUAAUACCGCAUACGAUCUACGGAUGAAAGCAGGGGACCGCAAGGCCUUGCGCGGACGGAGCGGCCGAUGGCAGAUUAGGUAGUUGGUGGGAUAAAAGCUUACCAAGCCGACGAUCUGUAGCUGGUCUGAGAGGAUGGUCAGCCACACUGGGACUGAGACACGGCCCAGACUCCUACGGGAGGCAGCAGUGGGGAAUUUUGGACAAUGGGCGCAAGCCUGAUCCAGCCAUGCCGCGUGCAGGAUGAAGGCCUUCGGGUUGUAAACUGCUUUUGUACGGAACGAAAAGCCUUCUUUUAAUACAGGAGGGUCAUGACGGUACCGUAAGAAUAAGCACCGGCUAACUACGUG
rnacentral:rRNA from 1 species